AGCGAACGCUGGCGGCAGGCCUAACACAUGCGAGUCGAACGAACCUUUCGGGGUUAGUGGCGGACGGGUGAGUAACACGUGGGAACGUGCCUUUAGGUUCGGAAUAACUCAGGGAAACUUGUGCUAAUACCGAAUGUGCCCUUCGGGGGAAAGAUUUAUCGCCUUUAGAGCGGCCCGCGUCUGAUUAGCUAGUUGGUUGAGGUAAUGGCUCACCAAGGCGACGAUCAGUAGCUGGUCUGAGAGGAUGAUCAGCCACAUUGGGACUGAGACACGGCCCAAACUCCUACGGGAGGCAGCAGUGGGGAAUCUUGCGCAAUGGGCGAAAGCCUGACGCCGCCAUGCCGCGUGAAUGAUGAAGGUCUUAGGAUUGUAAAAUUCUUUCACCGGGGACGAUAAUGACGGUACCCGGAGAAGAAGCCCCGGCUAACUUCGUG
rnacentral:rRNA from 1 species